rnacentral:lncRNA from 1 species
UUUGAUUGAUUACUUGUGAAUUAGUAAGUGGUGGCUUUAAUUAAGUAUGUGCUUGUGUAAAGAUGACUCAAAUUUGUGGGGAUAACAAUCGUUAACAUGUCAUGUGCAUUGGAAAUCCCUGAGGCAAACGUUGGAAGGUUUAGGUUUUGUUUUGGUUAGUUUGUUUCGUUUUGGUUUCUUUCUUUUGUUUGUUUUGCUCGAGGACUAGCAAAAGCUAAGUGUGGGGGAAUUUGAUAGGAGCAUAUUUAUGCGCCUUAGUUAGCUGGUUCUUAUGCAUUUUUGUUAUGGUUUCUUUGUUAAAGUAGUCUUUUAAGCUACUUUCUUGUGUUUUCAGGUUUAGCGAACGUAUUACAUGAAAUGAUGCAAUUUGGAGCUUUUGGAUGACCUAAACCCAAAUUUCUAUUCUUGGAGGUUUCCAUUUUCGAGAGUUUCUAUUCUUGGCGUUGGGCUUUUAGAUGACCUAAACCCAAAUUUCCUUGUGGACCUUCAACCCAUGCCGAACCCUAGGGCCUAAUCAUCUAAAAUCUGCCAUGUUAAACCCUAGUCCAUUCCUCCUAAACCCAAGCCGCACCUUUCCAUCCUAGAAGCCUAUUUUACAAACCCUAGCCCAUGUUCACUUAAGUGCCGCACCUAACCCUAGCCCAUCUGAUUUCAUUAGGGUUUUAGGUGCUUAUAUAUUUGUGUUUUACCACCCUAGCCGAACUCUCUCUCCCUCUCCAUAUUCAGAAAUUCGUCAAAACCCUAUUCCCCACUUUGCCGCAGCCUUCAUCCAUUCCAGCCACCAUCCUCCACCUUUAGACACCAUUCCACACCUCCAUAACUCUUUCCCACACCUUGCCGCACCACCCUACCAUCCUAACUCCCUUCUAAAAACCAAAAACACAUCCAGCAAACUCCAUUCACUCCAGAACCUGUCCCUCACCUUUGCCGAGCCCAACCUACACCCAAAUCCAUAUUCUCUGACCCCAAACCUUCCUAGCCGUGCCCUACACCUAUCCUAGAUAGUUUUCCACCAUUCUCCCUCAUCCAAAGUCAUCCAAAACCAUCCAAAAACCCCCUAAACCAACUCUGCCGCAACAAGGAGAAGAAGAAAGAGG